CCUUUGUUACGGGAAGGAAAAGACUGCGGGUGAAUAUCCCGUGGUCAUGACGGUACCGUAAGAAUAAGCACCGGCUAACUUCGUGC
rnacentral:rRNA from 1 species